CAUGGGCACUGGCAAACAUUGCACCUCCCAAGCCAGCCCUUACAAAGUGUCCAUACCCAGGCCAGCACGGGGGACAAGAUUCUGUGACUGAGACAACCCCAGCUUUGCAGCAACCAAGGAGCACAGAAUCUCUUGUGAGGAGGAUUGGAUAGAGAUCCCAGACUUUAAGGAAUGUGUUGCAAUGCGGACUCAGAAAUGCCAGCUGCCCAAGUCCCAAUGAAUCCUAGCUGCAGAAACCACUGUUUCUCCAGCAUCAUCUCUCUUUUGGCAUCGAGCUUGUGUUUGAGACCUUUCAAAUGCUGCAGAAGAUGCUUCUUGCUCAAGAAAAAAUUAUCUCAUCUCUUGGGAGGGAACAGACUGGAAGUUGCAGCUCACAAACUGUGUUGCAUUUUAAAAACACCCUCCCCCGAGGCCUGGGGCAGACGCGGUGCAGGAAGGAGCUCCCCUUGCUGAGAGGACAAAGGCUGCUGGAGAGGAAGGUGGGGUGGCUGGCCCAGCACUCGCCGUGUCCCGAGGAUGGCUUUGCCUUU